UUGGAGGGCAAGUCUGGUGCCAGCAGCCGCGGUAAUUCCAGCUCCAAUAGCGUAUAUUAAAGUUGUUGCAGUUAAAAAGCUCGUAGUUGAAUUUCGGGAUUUAUCCGUCGGUCGGGCUUUUGGGUCUGUACUGGCGUGAUAGAUUCCUACCUUCUGAAUAACCGGCAUGUCAUUAAUUUGGUGCGCCGGGGAAGCAGGACUGUUACCUUGAAAAAAUUAGAGUGCUUAAAGCAGGCUUAUGCCUGAAUACAUUAGCAUGGAAUAAUGAAAUAGGACGGCAUGGUUCUAUUUUGUUGGUUUCUAGGAUCACCGUAAUGAUUAAUAGGGAUAGUUGGGGGCAUUAGUAUUUAAUUGUCAGAGGUGAAAUUCUUGGAUUUAUUAAAGACUAACUUCUGCGAAAGCGUUUGCCAAGGAUGUUUUCAUUAAUCAAGAACGAAAGCUAGGGGAUCGAAGACGAUCAGAUACCGUCGUAGUCUUAACCAUAAACUAUGCCGACUAGGGAUCGGACGAUGUUAAUUUUUUAAUGACUCGUUCGGCGCCUUACGGGAAAC
rnacentral:rRNA from 1 species